rnacentral:lncRNA from 7 species
CUUCUUUGCAGGUAGGUAGGACAUUUGUCUUAUUUUCACAGUGGGAAGCCCUCGGACAGUUCUGAUGAAACUCCAAGCCUGAAUGAAAUAAUCAGCCUUCAAAGCUAACCUCAAAUCAUGUCCUCAAUGUCACACAAAAGUUUUAAGGGAUGGAAUUUCAAGGCAAGCUAGGAGAAUUUUUAACAACACAUAGAUGAGUGGACCAAGGAAAGAUCAGACCUCCAGAUAUUCAAGGCCAGUUGAAGAAAUAGUGCAACUCACACAGCGUUUCCACAAGAACAAGGACCAAGUGCAACCUGCAGGCAAAAGCUGUGGUUUGCACAAAGACAGAGUGGAGAACAAUUGGACAGGCAUCAACACUGAAUGAAGAAAAUUUUGGAGCCCACCUACCCUACUGUAGAGCCUUUGUGCUACAGCUCAGACUCAGACGUGAAAACAUAAAUGCCAUAAUGCAAAAGCACCGAAGUCUUCUACUGGAUCUGGCCCAAGGAUCUCUCAAUUCUUUCCACGUGUUUCCAUGUGCAAGACUUCUGCUGGUCUAAGCCACUUUCCCCUCCAUAAGCAACAACUUCAGCACACAGCAGAAAGCUGCACGGUAAACAAACAGAAACUGGAACAUAAUGCCAUCUUCAGAAAAAAAAGUGUGCACAUUAACAGUAAGGAAAAGCCCCAUACGGUUCCCAGAAAAGACCAUAUGAACCAGAAGAACUGGCUGUUGGGCCCAUGCAUCCUGUGUGUCCUUAUGCUUGGGACAAUGAUGGCCUUCUGGAAAUUUUCAGAAAUCUCUGUUUGGCUGAGGAUGGAGAAGUCAGAAAGGGUGCCAAAAUCUUUUCCCAUACCUGACCAGACUUGGAGGAGGUCUUCUAGCAACUUCUUACCAUCAGACUUUGACUUUACUAUCCUGUAAAUAUUAGCCACAGCAGCAAAUUCUGUCACCCAAGUAUGCACCUCCCUGGAAAGAUCACAAACCAGUAACAUCUUUCCUCUGACACAUGUAACAUUGCUAUAUCUUCUCUACCAAUUGCUCCCCUACUGAGACAUCCCAAGAUUUCAUUAGCCUUCUGACCACAUUUCAGUAGCUAAUCUGUGGAUAAGAUAAUGAAAGACAUGUGUUAUGGUGGCACUGACAUCUUUUGCACCCAGAAGGAACAAAAGACGGUUUCAUCUGUGCUGCUUAAAAGAGCCUUGUUACCAUAUUUCUUUGUCCCUUUUAUUGCAGUUUCUUACAGUGCUCCCAAGUUAAGGAAAUGGAACUAUCAUUUUGCAAACAAAUAGCUAAGGCAGUUGGCUAAAUACAUAGAUUUGCAAACUGAUAGAUGCAGUUGAGCAAAUAAUUGAAUGGCAGAUUUAAAAGCUCGAUUCUGGAAGUAUUAUUCACACAGUGACUUGGGUGACAGAAGUCCUUAUCUAAUAAAUAUGAAAGGAUUUU